GCCCAGUGAUGACACCAAGGCGAAUACGAGCUCACUGAUUGAGUGUUGGGUUCUUCUUACCUUGACUGGCAGGUAAUCUUGGCAGAACAGGAAAGCAUUUCUGCUCUGCUGUAAGGGCCUACCUACAGUGAAUUAGCACGACCCUCAUUAUGCUUCUAAAGUUUUUGGGGAGUACUGGUGGGACGGGGCUAACAGUGUGAUUGCAUGUGUGGUUGUGCGUGGAUGUGUGCGCGUGUGUAAGAGGUAAGGAGUUCACCCAGCUCUCUUUGCUGUUCAGUCAGUUAUGAGUUGCUUCUUUGGUAAUCUGAGGGCA